GCAGCAGUAGGGAAUUUUCGGCAAUGGGGGAAACCCUGACCGAGCAAUGCCGCGUGAAUGAUGAAAUUCUUCGGAAUGUAAAAUUCUGUUGUGAGGGAAGAAAGGUAGUAUCAGGAAAUGGGUAUUACUUGACGGUACCUUACUAGAAAGCCCCGGCUAACUAUGUGCCAGCAGCCGCGGUAAUACAUAGGGGGCGAGCGUUAUCCGGAAUUAUUGGGCGUAAAGCGUGCGUAGGCGGCCGUUUAAGUCUGUCGUGAAAGCCCACAGCUUAACUGUGGAGGGUCGAUGGAAACUGGAUGGCUUGAAUCUAGAAGAGGUAAGUGGAAUUCCAUGUGUAGCGGUAAAAUGCUUAGAUAUAUGGAGGAACACCAGUGGCGAAGGCGGCUUACUGGUCUAGCAUUGACGCUGAGGCACGAAAGCGUAGGUAGCAAACAGGAUUAGAUACCCUGGUAGUCUACGCUGUAAACGAUGAGCACUAAGUGUCGGACGUAAGUUCGGUGCUGUAGUUAACGCAUUAAGUGCUCCGCCUGGGGAGUACGGUCGCAAGACUGAAACUCAAAGGAAUUGACGGGGACUCGCACAAGCGGUGGAGCAUGUGGUUUAAUUCGACGCAACGCGAAAAACCUUACCAGGCCUUGACAUCCCUAUGACCGCUCUAGAGAUAGAGUUUCCUCUUCGGAGGUAUAGGUGACAGGUGGUGCAUGGUUGUCGUCAGCUCGUGUCGUGAGAUGUUGGGUUAAGUCCCGCAACGAGCGCAACCCUUAUCAUUAGUUGCUAACAUUAAGUUGAGCACUCUAAUGAGACUGCCAGCGACAAGUUGGAGGAAGGUGGGGAUGACGUCAAAUCAUCAUGC
rnacentral:rRNA from 1 species